UGAGAGGAAGAUCCCCCACAUUGGAACUGAGACACGGUCCAAACUCCUACGGGAGGCAGCAGUGAGGAAUAUUGGUCAAUGGAGGAGAGUCUGAACCAGCCAAGUAGCGUGAAGGAUGAAGGUCCUACGGAUUGUAAACUUCUUUUAUAAGGGAAUAAACCCUCCCACGUGUGGGAGCUUGUAUGUACCUUAUGAAUAAGCAUCGGC
rnacentral:rRNA from 1 species